rnacentral:rRNA from 1 species
CUGGCUCAGAUUGAACGCUGGCGGCAUGCCUUACACAUGCAAGUCGAACGGCAGCACGGGCUUCGGCCUGGUGGCGAGUGGUGAACGGGUGAGUAAUACAUCGGAACAUGUCCUGUAGUGGGGGAUAGCCCGGCGAAAGCCGGAUUAAUACCGCAUACGAUCUGAGGAUGAAAGCGGGGGACCUUCGGGCCUCGCGCUAUAGGGUUGGCCGAUGGCUGAUUAGCUAGUUGGUGGGGUAAAGGCCUACCAAGGCGACGAUCAGUAGCUGGUCUGAGAGGACGACCAGCCACACUGGGACUGAGACACGGCCCAGACUCCUACGGGAGGCAGCAGUGGGGAAUUUUGGACAAUGGGCGCAAGCCUGAUCCAGCAAUGCCGCGUGUGUGAAGAAGGCCUUCGGGUUGUAAAGCACUUUUGUCCGGAAAGAAAUCAUUCUGGCUAAUACCCGGAGUGGAUGACG